rnacentral:rRNA from 1 species
ACAGGGAUUGCCCCAGUAACGGCGAGUGAAGCGGCAAUAGCUCAAAUUUGAAAUCUGGCCCUUUCAGGGUCCGAGUUGUAAUUUGCAGAGGGCGCUUUGGUGUCGGCAGCAGCCUAAGUUCCUUGGAACAGGUCAUCAUAGAGGGUGAGAAUCCCGUAUGUGGCUGCUUGUCUUCCCCGUGUAAAGCCCCNUCGAUGAGUCGAGUUGUUUGGGAAUGCAGCUCUAAAUGGGAGGUAAAUUUCUUCUAAAGCUAAAUAUUGGCCAGAGACCGAUAGCGCACAAGUAGAGUGAUCGAAAGAUGAAAAGCACUUUGGAAAGAGAGUCAAAAAGCACGUGAAAUUGUUGAAAGGGAAGCGCUUGCAGCCAGACGUGCCCGUAGUUGCUCAUCUGGGGUUUUCCCCAGUGCACUCUUCUAUAGGCAGGCCAGCAUCAGUUCGGGCGGUUGGAGAAAGACCUGUGUCACGUAGCUCUCUUCGGGGAGUGUUAUAGGGCAGGUGGAAUGCAACCAGCCUGAACUGAGGUCCGCGCAUCUGCUAGGAUGCUGGCGUAAUGGCUGUAAGCGGCCCGUCUUGAAACACGGACCAAGGAGUCUAACAUCUAUGCGAGUGUUUGGGUGUCAAGCCCGAGCGCGUAAUGAAAGUGAACGGAGGUGGGAACCCCUCGGGGCGCACCAUCGACCGAUCCUGAUGUCUUCGGAUGGAUUUGAGUAAGAGCAUAGCUGUUGGGACCCGAAAGAUGGUGAACUAUGCCUGAAUAGGGUGAAGCCAGAGGAAACUCUGGUGGAGGCUCGCAGCGGUUCUGACGUGCAAAUCGAUCGUCAAAUUUGGGCAUAGGGGCGAAAGACU